GGCCAAAAAAGCUACCGCUGGAACCGCGAAGGAGCUGCAGCCACAUGACAGGGGCCUCCCGAGAUGCUCCCUCAGAGGAACACACCUACUGCUAAGCUGCUGACCAGAGCAAAAACAGGAUCUGGCACACUCUUUCUGCCUGGGAGCAAGUGAGAACAAAGAUGACACUUUGAUCUCAUAGCUGCUGUAACGCCUUCCAAUGCAGAACAGGACAAAUGGGCAAAGAACCCCAGAUUCCAGCUUCUCCCUGUACAGAACAUCCAGGGAUCCAGCUCGUCUGGAGGCUGGCUUCCGUCUUCUCAUCUUGGAACACUGAUGGGAUUUGACAUACUCUUGAUGCCUAUGGGCCACUAAGGACAAAGAAAGGGGGUGCGACUAGCAGGAAGACUGGAAAGGCCACCAAAGUCUCUGGCCAGCCUGAGACCCAACAGGUCCCAAGUAAAAUGAACCCAAAGAAAUCCAUACUGAGACACAUUGUAAUCAAACUGUCAAAAAGUCUAAGACAAAGAAUUUUGAAACCAGCAGGAAAAAAAUGACUUGCCAUGAGAAGGAAGGAAUCCAUUAAACUACCACUAGAUUUUUCAGCAGAAACUUUGUAGGCCAGAAGGGAGUGGAGCAAUAUAUUCAAGAUCCUGAAAGGACAGAUCUUGCCAACCAGGAAUACUAUAGCCCUUCAAAAAGGAAGGAGGGAGAAAGUCUUUUCCAGACAAACAAAAGCUGAGAGAGGUCAUCACCACAUAUAUGCUUUAUAAGACAUGUUCCAGGGAGUUCUUCAAGUUGAAACAAGAGGACUUUACCAAGCAAUCUGAAAGCAUCUGAAAGUGCAAAAAUCGCUGGUAAAUAUAUAGACAAAUACAGUUUAAUAAUGUGAUGGUGUGAUACUGUGAUGGUGAUGGGUAAAUCACUUUUAAUUCUAGAAUAACAGUUAAAAUACAAAGAUUUUAUAAAUAGCUAGAAAUAUAAAAACAUGUUAGUGGAUACAUAUUUUUAAAUAUGUUCAUGUGACAUCAAUGGGAUGUGUGCCAGAUCCUGUUUGUGCUCUAAGACAGAAACUAAAAGUAUAGAGUUUUCAUAUGUGUUUAAAGUCCAGUUAUCAGCUUAAGAGACUAUUAAAAGAUAUUUUUGUAAGCUCCAUGGUAACCACAAAGAAAAUACCUAGAGAAGAUACACAAAAGAAAAAGAUAAAGGAAUCAAAGCAUAUCAAUAAAAAAAAAUCAGUGAAACACAAAGGAAGACAUAGAUGAACCAGAGGACAUUAUGCUAAAUGACAUAGGACAGUCACAGACAGAUAAAUACUUCAUGACUCAACUUACAUUAGAUGUCUAAAAUAGCCAAGGGCAUAGAAGCAGAGUAGAACGGUGGGUUUAGGGGAGGAGGUUGCUGGGGAUAGUUGUCCAAUGGGUAUGAAGGUUCAGUUACACAAGAUGAGUCAGUCCCACAGAUCUGCUGUACAUUGUGCCUGCGGUUAACAGGACUGUAUUGCACACUUAAAAUUUUGUUAAAAAGGUAGAUCUCACGUUAAAUGUUCUUUUAAAAAAAUUAAAUUGUCAAGGGCACUCCUCCUGAGGGUAAAUAGAAUUUAAUCCUUCUGGGGAACAAGGGGAGGUUAUAUAGAACAAACACCUCAGUUAUUUUGCUCAGGGGAUGAGGUAGCUCAGUGAUUACCAUGCAUUCCUCAGUCAUUUUUACUUGAAGGCCCAUGGAGGAAGCUAGGGGGCAUUAAUUCCCACAAAACUGCCAGCCCUUCCCACAUGUGAACAGAAAGGGUUUCCUGGUCAGAGGAAACCUGAGGCAAGUCAAAGGUGCCGGCUGGGCAGUUAGAAGUUGGGCAGAGCAGGCAUGGGUGUGGUUAAGUCUGAAGGAUGUAGGCAGAACACCAACAGUAUGACUUCAUAGGUGUGAUACUUGUUCCAUUUUGCAAAAGGAGAAACUGAGCAAGGAAAGGUAGAAUCCUUGCUCAGUCUCUCAGUUUCACUAGAGCAGAGCUGAGAAUAAAAAUCCAGGGAAGAUAUGAAAUAAUACUUAUCCUACAGGAUUGUUAUGAGCUUAACUAUACUUCAAAUGCACCUAGCAAGCAGUGAGCAUUCAGUAAAUAGCAGGCUCCCCAUAAUUGUCAUGCUCCCAUAUGCCUGGAGUUUUCCAACAAAAGACUGGACAGCUUGGUCCAUAAAGGACCAGGGGUUGGGGACCUGUGUUUUAAUCUCAGCCACACCAGCAAUAAUAAUGAUUUGGAGCAUUGUGAUACAUUUACUCACUUCUUUGUGGUGUGGUAAAAGAAAAAAAAAUCAGUUCUUCCCCUUUAAAUGUAAUUUUGAUGAAACAGUGAAAUAGUAAUCUUUCUUAAAAAUCUUGAAAUUAAUGAAAAAUGAAGUGGCACAUUCUUUUGUAUGACUCAGCAUUUUUUUUGUAUCAUUAAUCUACAAUUACAUGACGAACAUUAUGUUUACUAGGUUCCCCCUUCACCAGACUCUUAGCAUUUUUGUACCCUCCUUAUCUCUUUCACAUACACCUAUUAAUGCCUGGUUGCUACCAUAGUUAAUAUACAUUGCUAUAUACAAUAUUUUAAUUAAAGUUUGAGUAAUGUAGGAAAGACACUAUCUUUAGACAGCCUUGAGAAUCCAGUGUGAUCAAAUUUUUAAAACUUUGACAGAUGAAAAGGAUACCUCAAGAUAAUUCCUUUUACUAGUAAGAUUGAAUAUCUUUAUAGACAUUUUAGGGCCACUGCUAUUUUCUUCCUUUAAUAAUAUGAAUUUUCCAUUGAGUUAGACAGAAUUUUAAGGUGAGAAUCAACCUAGGUGACAACUUGAUUUCAGCCUCAUGAGACCUGAAGCACAGAGCCCGGUUACACCAUGUGAGACUUCUGAUCUCAGCACUGUGCGAAUAUGUGAUGUUUUAAACUGCUGAAUUGGUGUUAAUUUAUUACACAGCAAUAGGAAAGUAGUGUAUCCAUGUUUCUACAUAACAUUCAUAUUUAUCUUUAAGACCAUCACAGAAUAUGCCAUCAUUUGCCCCUGGCAUAAUUAUUUCUUUACAGUUGAUCAUUUAGGUUGCUUUUAAUUGUUCGCUAUUAUAAAUACUGCAGCAAUGAACAUGUCCCCACACAUAGCUUUCCCCAUAUUUAUCUUUUAUCAUUUUAUUUGCUUUUGUAUAGAGCAGAUAAUAUAUUACCUGUUUCAAAAUCCAAAUGUACAAAAUGAUGAACAGUGAAGAAUUCUCACUUCCAUGCCUUGACUAUACAAUUUCCCAAGCCCCAAACAAUCCAAGUAUUAAAUUAUUUUGAAUCCUUCUUGAGACAUUUUGUCUUAAUGAUCACAUACCAUAUCCAUUCUUCUGGAUCUUGCUUUUUCACUAAACAAUAUAUUUUGAAGACUUUCUAUAUCAGCACCUAAAGAAUAUCCUCUCUCUGGCUGAAUAAUAUUUUAUUGUAUAAAUAUACCAAAAUUAUUUAACAUUUUUGUUAUUUAAUCAUAAAUAUGCCAUAAUUUAUUCUGCUGUAUAAAGUACCACAAUGUAUUUAUGGCUGGACAUGUAAGAGUUUUGAAAAUUCUGUUCCUGGUCACAAUGGGCAGAUAAUAUGGACAAAAUUCCCUUUUGGACAACCCAAAAAGCAAUAAGUGCUUUUCAUUUUGUUUUGUUUUAAGAUGCCUGCCUGAAGAUAGCAGAGAGCUAAGAAAAGAGUUCUGAGGAAUUACUUGGUCAGUUGCUGAGUGGAAUAGAUACUCACAACUAUGAGCCCAGCAUUUGAGGCUGCUUUACACCUGCUCAGUGAGAAUGCUGAGGACUUUGGGGCAGUCUCGUGGGGCUAAGAGGAGUCUGGGCCCCUCCGAGGCAGCAGAGCCCGGGUCAGUCCCUCGGCUUUGGGACAGCACUCCAGGGACGGGAGUGAGACAGUCUGGAAGUGAGAAUUAAUCUCAAGUGACAAACCUCAUAAGGAACUGGCCACAUCCUCUUAAUUCCUGAAAGUGGAUUGAGAUAAUCCAACAUUGUUAAUAGCUCUUGGCUGAAGCAAAGGUAAACCUUCUCUUAACAAGCUUGGCUUCAGAUUAUUUUUAGAAACAAUUUUACAAAUACAAAGUCCCCACCACUAAAACCAGCCAAAGUAAACAAACAACACGGGAGGAGACAUGACAACCUGAGAAAAAUUAUUAGAAACCAAAAAAAAAAAAAAAAAGAAAAAGACAUAUCCACAGGGGUCCCAGAAUUUCAGAGACCAACUUGAAAAUAAGUUUCUACUGUUACUAUGUCCAAGGCAGCAAAGGAAAAAAAAAAAUAAUGAUUCAGUGGAGAAUUGGAAACAAUAUUGGUUUUAAUCUUUUGCUCUAACAAAUAGGGCAACACUGGAUGUACCUGUGCAGGUGAAUUUGUAUACAGGAGGAACAUGUGGACCUGAUGAAUAACAAGAAUGAGGCUACUGAUUCAAGUAAAAUAAAUCAUGUAUUAUUUUGGAGACAGCCAUAAACAGAAUUUGCAAUGGGAACACACCAGAGGGGCAACACUUCCCUCAAAUUUGAAGCCAAAGAAAAGCUCCCUGAGGAAAGUCUGAAGAAUUAAUGAAACUAACAUAAGAGGGGGGAAGGGCAAAAGGCGCCGAGUCGUUCUGCAAAUGCAAGGCCUGGAGAUGAGAGUGAGGUUGCAGAUUCAAGGACCUUCAAGUUCAGUGUUUCUGGAGCAAAGUAGCAGGGAGAGAUAGUGGCUGUGGAGAAGGCUGGGGAGGAAGAUGUUCUCCAAGCUCUGAAAAGGCUUCUUAAGCUCUGCUGGAGUGUAGACUUCAUCUAGUUGGCACUGGGGGCCCUGAUUGUUUUAUGCAGGCAGUGACAGGGUCUGAUUGACUUCUGUGAAAUUCAGAGCACUCUGAGCAUAUGUAUUUUCUUUCUCCAACAAAAUUGCUGAGCAGCUUCAGGAUCUGCUCACUCGGUUUGCAUGCCUUCGUUGUUUUCUCAAUGUCUUCGCUUGAGACUUUCUUUCCUGGCAAGCUUUCCAUCAAGCUGCGAAGCUGCUCGAAGGUUACCAUACCUUGGAAGAUCUUCUUGACCAUAUCUUGCUCUUUGUUUUGAUGUUUCCAUAACUUCAGCAGCUGGAAAGUUUGUUCUUGUGAGCUGUGUCGCCGUUUUAUCCUCUCCACAUUCUCUGCAUUUAUUU